UACGUAGGGGGCGAGCGUUGUCCGGAUUUAUUGGGCGUAAAGAGCGUGUAGGCGGCCAGGUAGGUCCGUUGUGAAAACUCGAGGCUCAACCUCGAGAUGUCGAUGGAAACCGUCUGGCUAGAGUCCGGAAGAGGAGUGUGGAAUUCCUGGUGUAGCGGUGAAAUGCGCAGAUAUCAGGAAGAACACCUAUGGCGAAGGCAGCACUCUGGGACGGUACUGACGCUGAGACGCGAAAGCGUGGGGAGCGAACAGG
rnacentral:rRNA from 1 species